rnacentral:rRNA from 1 species
UGGGGAAUUUUGGACAAUGGGCGAAAGCCUGAUCCAGCAAUGCCGCGUGUGUGAAGAAGGCCUUCGGGUUGUAAAGCACUUUUGUCCGGAAAGAAAUCCUUGGCUCUAAUACAGUCGGGGGAUGACGGUACCGGAAGAAUAAGCACCGGCUAACUACGUGCCAGCAGCCGCGGUAAUACGUAGGGUGCAAGCGUUAAUCGGAAUUACUGGGCGUAAAGCGUGCGCAGGCGGUUUGCUAAGACCGAUGUGAAAUCCCCGGGCUCAACCUGGGAACUGCAUUUGGUGACUGGCAGGCUAGAGUAUGGCAGAGGGGGGUAGAAUUCCACGUGUAGCAGUGAAAUGCGUAGAGAUGUGGAGGAAUACCGAUGGCGAAGGCAGCCCCCUGGGCCAAUACUGACGCUCAUGCACGAAAGCGUGGGGAGCAAACAGGAUUAGAUACCCUGGUAGUCCACGCCCUAAACGAUGUCAACUAGUUGUUGGGGAUUCAUUUCCUUAGUAACGUAGCUAACGCGUGAAGUUGACCGCCGGGGAGUACGGUCGCAAGAUUAAAACUCAAAUGAAUUGACGGGGUCAUAGCUGUUUCC